rnacentral:rRNA from 1 species
UACAGAGGUCUCAAGCGUUGUCCGGAUUCAUUGGGCGUAAAGGGUGCGUAGGUGGCGCCAUAAGUCAGGUGUGAAAUCUCGGGGCUCAACCCCGAAACUGCAUUUGAUACUGUGGUGCUCGAGUACUGGAGAGGAGAUUGGAAUUUACGGUGUAGCAGUGAAAUGCGUAGAUAUCGUAAGGAAGACCAGUGGCGAAGGCGAAUCUCUGGACAGUUACUGACACUGAGGCACGAAAGCUAGGGGAGCAAACAGG